rnacentral:rRNA from 1 species
GACGAACGCUGGCGGCGUGCUUAACACAUGCAAGUCGAACGGAAAGGCCCUGCUUUUGUGGGGUGCUCGAGUGGCGAACGGGUGAGCAACACGUGAGUAACCUGCCCUUGACUUUGGGAUAACUUCAGGAAACUGGGGCUAAUACCGGAUAGGAGCUCCUGCUGCAUGGUGGGGGUUGGAAAGUUUCGGCGGUUGGGGAUGGACUCGCGGCCUAUCAGCUUGUUGGUGGGGUAGUGGCUUACCAAGGCUUUGACGGGUAGCCGGCCUGAGAGGGUGACCGGCCACAUUGGGACUGAGAUGCGGCCCAGACUCCUACGGGAGGCAGCAGUGGGGAAUAUUGCACAAGGGGCGGAAGCCUGAUGCAGCAACGCCGCGUGCGGGAUGACGGCCUUCGGGUUGUAAACCGCUUUCGCCUGUGACGAAGCGUGAGUGACGGUAAUGGGUAAAGAAGCACCGGCUAACUACGUG